GUUUUGGUGACCGAGCAAAGGUGAAAGAUUUUUAAUCUUUUAACAGGACUGAUGUCCUCCAAAACA
rnacentral:tRNA from 1 species